GACAGCCGCCGCCCCGGAGGUUACUCUAGGCCGGCAGGCCUGCCCGUUCCCGCGGAUCGCCGUGGUCUCCUUACCAUGAGGCCAGUGAGUCGCCGCACCCUGGACCGGAUUUAUUCCGUGUUGCUCCUCGCGAUCGUAUUACUUUCCUGGGGAUAUGUCAUCUAUGCAUCGACAGUAGCCGCUCGACGACAACUAAGGAAGAAAUACCCAGACAAAAUAUUCGGGAAUGAAUGAAAUUUGUAAUUCCUCUAGAUUUUAUUCUAUGCAAAUACUUCACUUUAUGCUUACCUGACACAUGUCUAUAUUUAAAGUAAAAUCCAUAAUAUAAAGUUUUCAAAUUUAUUAUUGCAUACAGUCCUUUAUAAUAAACCAUGAAUGUGCUAACUUUUC